AUUGAACGCUGGCGGCAGGCCUAACACAUGCAAGUCGAGCGAGCGGCGGACGGGUGAGGAAUGUCCGGGGAACUGCCUGUUGGAGGGGGAUAACAACUGGAAACGGUAGCUAAUAUCGCAUACCACAAGAAGUGCCCACAUGGGAGUAGCUAGUAUGUGGGGUAACGGCUCCCCUAGGCGACGAUCCCUAGCUGGUCUGAGAGGAUGACCAGCUACACUGGGACUGAGACACGGUCCAGACUCCUACGGGAGGCAGCAGUGGGGAAUAUUGCACAAUGGGCGCAAGCCUGAUGCAGCCAUGCCGCGUGUGUGAAGAAGGCCUUCGGGUUGUAAAGCACUUUCAGCGGUGAGGCGUUACCCACAGAAGAAGCACCGGCUAACUCCGUGCCAGCCGCCGCGGUAAUUC
rnacentral:rRNA from 1 species